rnacentral:lncRNA from 1 species
AAGUCAAUACCAUCUAUGCUAAUGACAAAUCAACAAGUUUUUAAACCACAUAAUCUUGUAUUAUAGACAACAAAUAAUAAAAGAUAGUAAUUUUAUUUAUUGAUUUCUACUUCAACAUAGCUUAUUAGAUUUUUUGUUUUGAUUUGGUCAUAAUAUACUUUUAGAUUGGUGUAGUUGUCUUCAUAAGAGCCAAUUAGCUUAGAAACAACUUAUUUUCUUCUAUACCAUGCCAUCAAGUAAGAUACUAUAAUAUCUUCACUACAUCAAAUAUCUUUUUGGAUCUAUGUAAUCUUUAGAGAUCAAAAUGACAUCUCCUAUAAAUCCUAAAUUUGAAAUAAGAAUCACC